rnacentral:rRNA from 1 species
CCUCAAAUCAGGUAGGACUACCCGCUGAACUUAAGCAUAUCAAUAAGCGGAGGAAAAGAAACUAACAAGGAUUCCCCUAGUAACGGCGAGUGAAGCGGGAUGAGCUCAAAUUUAAAAUCUGGCGGCCUCAGGUCGUCCGAGUUGUAGUCUAGAGAAUCGUUUUCCGCGUUGGCCUGUGUACAAGUCCCUUGGAACAGGGCGUCAUAGAGGGUGAGAAUCCCGUCCUUGACACAGACUACCAAUGCUUUGUGAUGCGAUCUCGAAGAGUCGAGUUGUUUGGGAAUGCAGCUCAAAAUGGGUGGUAAAUUCCAUCUAAAGCUAAAUAUUGGCGAGAGACCGAUAGCGAACAAGUACCGUGAGGGAAAGAUGAAAAGCACUUUGGAAAGAGAGUUAAACAGUACGUGAAAUUGUUAAAAGGGAAACGAUUGAAGUCAGUCAUGCUUUCCGAGACUCAGCCGAUUCUGUCGGUGUACUUCUCGGUUGGCAGGCCAGCAUCAGUUUCGAUCUGUGGAAAAGGUUGGAGGGAACGUGGCAUCCUCGGAUGUGUUAUAGCCCUUCUUCGAAUACAUAGAGCGGGACUGAGGAACGCAGCGCGCCUUUUAUUAGGUUGGCCCUCGGGUACAUACGCGCUUAGGAUGCUGGCAUAAUGGCUUUAAACGACCC